rnacentral:lncRNA from 1 species
UUUUUUUAUUAAACUUGGCAUGUAUACAUUCUCAAAUUAAGAAAAAGAAUGUACUCAUAUAAGUUUAAAAGGUACAUUUUACAUACAACAAAUUGGUAUAUUUAAGAAUUGGCACAUUUUAAGAUUAAAAAAAUGAAAAAUUACAUAAAUGGGUACAUAUAAGAUUAAAAAACUUGGAAACCUUUUUAUAAAAAAUUAAGGGGUACAAACUUAUUCUAAUAUUUUUUUUUUUUUUUGGAAAUGUUUUGAAUUGAAGAUUAGUUAGGAGUUCAAUAAAGGUGUGAGAUUAAAAUCCUAAAUCAAUUAUUAAUUUUUAUUUUAAAAAUUAAGUAACUGAUAUGUAAAUUCAGUAUUGCAUUAAUGUUAGGGACUUUGAUCAAAAUCUGAAAACUUAUGAGGUUUCAGUCAAUGAACAUUAGUAACUAGAGACCGGAUACUAAUUUUUCCUAGUUCUAAUAUUGACAAUUAGAGAUUUAUAUUUUUUUUUUUUUGAACAAUCGAUAUUAUCUAUACUAUGGGGAGGUGGGUUCAACCACACAAUGGGCUAGCAAUAAUGUGGUUCAAAUUUGCCUUUGGCGAGAAUUGAACCUAAAACCUCUCACUUACUAGUGAAGAGGAAUACCAUUAGACUGUAGUACUAAAUGGCUAAAGAUUUAUAUUCUUAUAAUGCUUAUUUUUAGCUACACUUAUUGGAAUUUGAUUUUAAUUAUAUUUUGCUUUCUGUUACUCAAAAGUUGCCACUUUAUUCCUUGAUACUCAAAGUUCGCUCCACUUUGCUAUUUGGAACUCAAUUUUGAUUUCAUUUUGCCCCCUCAAACUAAAAAGUCGUCUUUAUAAAACUCAAAUUUCGCUCUACAUUGACUUAGAUCUGUUAAUUUCUUAUGUGAGUUUGAUUUGGAUGCGCUAGGCUAAUCAAUUUCUUUUUUCUUCAUCUCUUCAACUUCUUUUAAACUAAAUAUUCUCUGAGUAUUGCAUAAUGAAGAUUUAUAGCCAAAAUUAUUGCACAUGUGACAUAGUCUUAUUGGGUGUUGAGUCCCACAUGUUUUAAGAGGUGGCCUAUAAGUUUCAGGAAGAAGAGAGAGUUCACAAGUCAAAGCGAGACAAUUUUGAGUUUCAUAGAAUCAAGUGGUAUCUUUUGAGUUACACGUAGCAAAUUUAAAUAAAAAUGGAUAGCCUUCUAUAAUUUAGGGAUUGUUUGAUAACAUUUCGUUUUCUAUUUUUCACUUUUUUUUUUCAAAUCUGAAAACUAAAAUCUAAUUUGGUAACCAUUACUCUUUCUUGAGUUUUCACCUUUUUGUUUUCAUUUUUUUAAAUAAUAACCAAAGAAGAUUGUAGUUUUCAAAAAAUACAAGCUGAAAAAGCAAAAAUUAAAAACUAAAAAUUGAAAACAAAAACCAAAAACAUGCAAGCAACUCAAAUUGGAUUUAGGCGUUUCUUCUAUAGUUUGGUGCUUGAAGUAUUUUUCAUUAACAUAGCAAAUGCCCACACAUAUUGUGUGUGAACAAUUUUAUUCCAUUUUGAUUUUUAUUACGUAGUGUGAUUAGUUUUUAAAAUUCUAAAACAAAUCAAUUAUGAAAGUUGGGACAGUGAUGGCCAGUUUCUUUUAAUGUGGGUAUGUUCUUUAUUUUUUUUAUCUUAUUUUAUUUUAAUUUUUAAAUAUGGCAUGAUAUGCUCAUUUGACUGUAGAUUGGUGUAAAAAUAACAAAUUUAUAUUCAUGUAAUAUUACUAAAUUGCCCAUGUUUUUAUUUUUGUUCAGUUUUGGUGAGGGAGUUAGAAUGGUAAUUUUAUAGAAUUUUGAUUAACUACUUUAGAUUUUUUUAUUUUUUAUUUUUUAUUUUUUUUUAUAGAAACGAUAUGAAGUUGGAUUUUAUUAAUAAAGUAGUUUAGAUUAAUACCUAGAAGCCUCUUGUAAAUUGUUGUAUUAGGGGCGGGUGGAAUUUGAUUCGCAUUUUCCAAGUCAACCUAGUCGAAUCACUAUCCCCCCACGCCAACCUAAGGCU